rnacentral:rRNA from 1 species
GACGAACGCUGGCGGCGUGCUUAACACAUGCAAGUCGAACGGAAAGGCCCUGCUUUUGUGGGGUGCUCGAGUGGCGAACGGGUGAGUAACACGUGAGUAACCUGCCCUUGACUUUGGGAUAACUUCAGGAAACUGGGGCUAAUACCGGAUAGGAGCUCCUGCUGCAUGGUGGGGUUGGAAAGUUUCGGCGGUUGGGGAUGGACUCGCGGCUUAUCAGCUUGUUGGUGGGGUAGUGGCUUACCAAGGCUUUGACGGGUAGCCGGCCUGAGAGGGUGACCGGCCACAUUGGGACUGAGAUACGGCCCAGACUCCUACGGGAGGCAGCAGUGGGGAAUAUUGCACAAUGGGCGGAAGCCUGAUGCAGCAACGCCGCGUGCGGGAUGACGGCCU